UGGUCAAGUUAUUAAGGGUGCAGGGUGGAUGCCUUGGCACUAGGAGCCGAUGAAGGACGUGAUAAGCUGCGAUAAGCUUCGGGGAGUUGCACGUAAACUUUGAUCCGAAGAUUUCCGAAUGAGGAAACUCACUUAGAGUAAUGUCUAAGUAUCAUUAAGUGAAUACAUAGCUUAAUGAGGGGAACUCAGGGAACUGAAACAUCUAAGUACCUGAAGGAAGAGAAAGAAAUUCGAUUCCGUAAGUAGCGGCGAGCGAACGCGGAUUAGCCCAAACCAAUAAAGUUUUCUUUAUUGGGGUUG
rnacentral:rRNA from 1 species